rnacentral:lncRNA from 1 species
CUAAGACGUGUACACACACAUGUUUCCCAUCUUCAUUUUUACUUGCCAAAAGGGCUUGAGGGAGCUUGAACUUUUCAAGCCUUUGAACUUGUGGGUCAGGGAGAACAAUUGGAGGAGGUGGAGGAAGUGAAGCAUGACUCUCAUUUCCUUGAUCAUAUCUCGGAACGUCAUCUUCAUUUGGAAAGCUUGUUCCAAAGGAUUUAGGAAGACCAUUGUAAGAUUCAGACAUCUACUAAACAGGAAAAAUUCAAGUUAAGUUGAUUGAGUCCUUAAUAAAACACCCAAAUGAAUUAUUAAGGCUAGGAUCCAACACAAUACUCUACAACCUAGAAGAGGGAUGCCGUAAUAUAGUUGCAGAAUAUUUGAAGGUAGGUAAAUGACGAUUUACCAAUUUCCACCAUGAAAAAUGAAAAGGAAGUUUAAGUUUUAAAUGAACUGAAACUCCUAGAUCUUAUGAGAUUCAUUGAACAUUUCAAUGGCAUGUUUAAUCUCGAUUAUGCCCUACUAUUUGUGACUGGGAUGCCGAGGAUCACAAACAAGGUGUGAAUAACCAUACGAAUCACGUGGUGCACCCAAUGCUACAAUCACCUAAUCAANCGUGGCGGUUAGCCACACACGCUCCAUUGAUCUAUGACAAACUUUGAGCCACCCUUCGCUACCAAUGUCAUCCCCAAAUUAGUGUGCCGGUUAACCACACAUGCUCCACUAACGUUUGACAAGGGUACGAAGUGUAAUUCCAUGGGUUAGCAUACAAUUUCACAUUUUGCCUAAAGUAACUAUGAUUUGGGAAUUUGAAAAAGCAUUUAGUUACUUUGUACUUCAUUAUACUUAUAAUGGAAGGUUUCUGUCCUAUCCUACCCGUUCGGCUAACGACCCUCCACUAGUCAAGAGUGCGGUGGGUAAGAGUGGAUACCCAUUCAAUCGCCAUUUUAUAGGCAAUUUCCUUAAACACCCCUUAUAGACCAGCUUCGUGAAUGAGGCCUACUAACGGUAAGACUGACUUUUAACUCAUACAUAUAUAUAAUAUUAGACAUUUAAUUUUAUAUAGUANNNNNNNNNNNNNNNNNNNNNNNNNNNNNNNNNNNNNNNNNNNNNNNNNNNNNNNNNNNNNNNNNNNNNNNNNNNNNNNNNNNNNNNNNNNNNNNNNNNNNNNNNNNNNNNNNNNNNNNNNNNNNNNNNNNNNNNNNNNNNNNNNNNNNNNNNNNNNNNNNNNNNNNNNNNNNNNNNNNNNNNNNNNNNNNNNNNNNNNNNNNNNNNNNNNNNNNNNNNNNNNNNNNNNNNNNNNNNNNNNNNNNNNNNNNNNNNNNNNNNNNNNNNNNNNNNNNNNNNNNNNNNNNNNNNNNNNNNNNNNNNNNNNNNNNNNNNNNNNNNNNNNNNNNNNNNNNNNNNNNNNNNNNNNNNNNNNNNNNNNNNNNNNNNNNNNNNNNNNNNNNNNNNNNNNNNNNNNNNNNNNNNNNNNNNNNNNNNNNNNNNNNNNNNNNNNNNNNNNNNNNNNNNNNNNNNNNNNNNNNNNNNNNNNNNNNNNNNNNNNNNNNNNNNNNNNNNNNNNNNNNNNNNNNNNNNNNNNNNNNNNNNNNNNNAAUGUCAAAACAAUCAAAUGGUCUAUGAAUAAAUGGUAUAUAUUAUAUAAUACUUAUUAAAUAUUAAUACUUGAUACAUAAAUACAUUUAAAAAUAAAAUAUUUUUUUUAUUAAGAAUAUAAACGGGUUGGCGGGUCAACCCGUUUAUUUUUUGAGAAACCCAUAUAUGACCCGUUUAAUAAACGGGUUGGCGGGUUGACGGGUUAGCGGGUUGGCGGGUUGAAAAACUCAACCCAAACCCAUUUAUUUCGUGUCGUGUCGCGGGUCGUGUCGCGUGUCGUGUCGAGAAUUGCCAGCCCUAACCAUAAGGGUGUGAUUUGAACUUUUCAAAUUACUAGGUUUGAGAAUUUAAAAUUUAAAAUUAAGACUUUUAAUUAAAUUUUAAAAUCCAAAACAUGAGGGCAAGUUUUGAAACUUUUCAAAACAUUAAGGUUUAACUUAUUUAAAUUUCAAAAACAAAACUUUUAAGUUCAAAUUUAAACUAUAAAACCUAAAGGGAGUAAUUUGAAACUUUUUCAAAAGAUAAUUCAAAUCUAAAUUACAAAUAAUCAAUAUUUAUCAAAUAAAACAAAAGAUUAUCAAAAUUUGACAAUUAUCUUCAAUUUUGGUAAGGAUAUUCACCCAAUAUCAAUAAAAAUUGGAUUUUAUGAAUUAAAAAAGUUUAUGGUAAGUAUCCCAAGCCAAAACAGGUCAAAAACCCGCAAAAACAGCAUUCUGCGUCUCAAACUCGUCGAGUCAGCACUGGACUCGUCGAGUUCACAGUGGACUCGGCGAGUCCAGCCCCCAGAAACUCAAAAUUUUUGAUUUUAAGCUUGAAUAAUCUAAUAUAGCAUCAAAUACAUCAACCAAACAUCCCUAGGCUCUGACACCACUGAUGGGUUUUUAACAAUACAUCAGUCCUAUGGUGUACAUGCAAACCCUAAUAGCUUUUGGAUCUAGUCCAUCUAAUGAACAUGCAAUUGAAUAUCCAAAGCUACAAACUCCUAGAUCUAGCAUACAAUUAAUCAUAUUAACAUAAAAUAGGGUUUAGAUCUUACCUUUGAUUGUUAUAUAGCAAUAACAAUCAAUCCUUGGCUUCAGAAAGCUUAGUGCCUCAAGUGUUGCACCUCUAAUGGAGUCACAAACACCACUAAGCAACUUGGAUGAAGAAGGAAGAGAGGGGAGGCACAAAAAACGGCUGGAAACCCUAAAGGAAGUGUUAGCCACGUUUUUGGUGCCGAAGUGUUCCUUAUAUACUUAGGCAAUUAGGGUUAUCAAACAAGGAAACCCUAAUUUGACUGCUUAAGCCCUAAGCAGCACAUGAAACCCUUCUGGAACAUGCCUUGGACGAUUUCUAAUGGGCUUCCCAUAGAAUUCGUCCAACCUAUUAUUCCAAGGUGUUCCAUAGCCCAAUUGCAAUUAUCUCAUAAUUACAAUUCCAGUUGCCUAAGUUUAAUUAAUCUCUUUUAGCCACAAAAUUAAUUCUUAAUUAAUUCUUGACUAAUAUUAAUUAAACAUUAUGAUUUCUCCUUUAAUAUAUUAUUCUUAUAAUAUAUUAAUAAAUCAUAAUUAAUCCUUUCUCUCCUUAAUUCAUCUUACAUAUUGCUAUUGUGAAGGCAACCCAAAAGGACCAUGCUCAUAAUCGGGUCAAAUACAUACCAAAAUAGUUAUGGACUUAGACACUAAUCCAAUAGUACCCAACUUGUACGUUAACCGUACUGGCUCAAGGGCUUGUAUCUUGUGUGUACAAGCUUGUACACCCAGCAUACUCUUCCAGUUCUAUCCACCUUGUAGUUUCAGCUCUUAACCCAUUUAAGACUUCACUCCAUAAUGUAGAUAUGAUUUCCUUAAGCUGGAUUACCAUGUAAAGUUGUUGACUUUACGUGCAUGCAUGGCUAAAUGAAGCUCUUAAGCUUAAAAAGGACUUAAUAAGUGACUAAAUGCAUGCAUGAGGCCCUAAACUCCAUACAGUUGGCACCUUUAUGCUUAAUGAGCUCCUCAUAAGCCUAGAUCUGAAAGGAUAAGUCCUUAGGACGACUUAACUCAACAAUCCACUCAACAAUGGGCAAUGGCCAAAAGCAUGACAAAUCAUCCCAAAAGAGAUCUAAACAAAUAGAAGUCAAGAUGAGAACCUGAUACCUCAAAAGCUUUGCAAAAAGGGUGGUGAUUCUGGAUCGAAGACCUUCUCUCCAACCUAUGAAACUUCAAGCUUCUCUAACUCCUUCAAAAUGCACAAAAUGAACAUCAAAUUCUCUCCAUGGGCUCAAACACUCAACAAUUGAGGCUAACACUCGUUUCUAGGGUUUUGGGGAUUUAGAGGCUAGUAAGGAGGCCAAACCUAAUGAAUAAGGAUGUUUAUAUAGGGUGCAGAACCCCUAACUAGGGUUUCAUUAAAGUCCACGUACGCCCAGCGUACGCAUACGUACGUCCAACGUACGUGACGUGGGUCCCGACUCACCAUCAACUCAGUACGCUAAGCGUACCAAGUGGUACGCCCCACGUACUACUUCAGGGACAAAAAUGAACAAUUCUAAAAAUAAAAGGGCCACAAGGUACAUACUAGGGUACAAUUGUUACAAUAUUCCGCCAAUUGAAUCAGACUUCGUCCUCGAAGUCCGCUGCUCCAAAUAACUCUGGGUACUGCUCCUUCAUCUCAUCUUCGAGCUCCCUAGUCCACCAUGAACCCUUGCGGUGAUACCAUUGCACCUUCACCAACUCAACUACCUUGUUCCUUAAGGUUUUCGUCUUUCGAUCGAGAAUCGUCACCGGUCUCUCAAUAUAAUUCAAGCGGUCAUCCACUUGAAUAUCCUCCAAUGGCACCAUUGUGGAAUCAUCUACCAGACACUUCCACAACUAAGAGACAUGCAAUGUGCUAUGAAUCUAACUGAGCUUAGGUGGAAUAUCUAAACAAUACACAACCUGGCUCACCCGAGAUAAAACCCUAAAGGUACCAAUAUACCUCGGGCCCGUAUUUCCUCGCUUCCUGUACUGGACGACAUGUAAAACCCGAAAUCCAGGAGGCAAAAUUGGGGAAGGAAAAACCUUAAGUUAAUGAGUCAACUCAUUGAUUCCAAGGAAGAAAUCGACGAGUGGAAGCGAGUUCUUUGUCACAGAUUAAGUGGCCCACUCGGCGAGUCGGGGGACUGACUCGGCGAGUCUGGUCUGGGUUGGGAAACCCUAAUUUUGGGACUUGGUGCCCUAUUUAAGUAUCAUAUUCUCAUUCCCUCAGUCUCAUUUUCAGCCCCCAGACCCCAAACCCUCACCCACGAAACCCUAGUGCAUCUUGUAAGUGUCUGAGCCACCUUGGUGUGUUUUGUGUGCUCUUGAAGAGGAAGAAGAAGAAGAAGGAAGUUGGAGGUUCAAGAAGGAGGAAGUAGAUCCAGAAGAUACACUCCAUUUGCUGCAUUUCUUGGUAAUCAAGUCUUCAUCUGUCACACCCCCGAACCGUCAGAAAUAACGGCGGAAACUUCCGGGGGCGGGUGACGUCAUAUGUAGUAUCACAACAAUCGUAUCAUAGCAAUCAAAGUAAACAUAACCAUUACAUUACAAUAUGAAUAUUUACAUCUAUUUGAAAACAUAGUUUGUGUACAUCAAAAGAAACAAAAGAUAAAGACGAGACUCCGAAAUGCUCCAUCUUCUCCAAAAGCUAGCGUAGGUACCUCCCUAUCGUUGUUCUCAGAAUACAAGUGGUUUUGAAAACGCAUCAGCAUAAAGCUGGUGAGUUCAUAAGCAUUUUUGUAUAUUGAAAACUAGUCACUGAAUUUGUCAAAAUGGUUUCUUUUCAUUAUAAGUAAAAUGUCCUUUGUAUCGAAAACCAUUUUUAUCAACAUCUGAAAUAUAUAUGCUUGUUUUCCAAGAAAAUCCAAUAUUUUCUAACAUGUUUGAUUACUGUAUGAAAUGUAUGUUCUGUUGGAAAACCCUGGCUACCACUAGUAUGUAGUGUAUGUUAUGUUCGAAACCCUGGCUACCGUCAGUAUUUAAUGUAUGUUCUAUUCGAAAACCCUGGCUACCGCCAGUACGUAUAGUAGUUUUGAUUACUUAAAAUAAAACCAAAGGUUGGACCCCUAGAUUACCCUCCAGUGUAGUAAGUGAUGGGUUUUGAGCAUUCUAACACUUCCUAAGUGUACAUGCAACCCUAAUAACCUUGGAUCUAUGUUUGUCUAAUUAUCAUGCAAAGUUGAUUUCAAAGGCUAUGAUCCUAUCUAGCAUACAUGGGGAACAAUUUUAACUUGAAUAAUAGAUAGAACUACAUACCUUGUUGUUGUAAGUGUUCCUUGAAACCUUGUGAGCCUAUCACCCCAAGUGUGAUGCCUCAAAUGCUUCACACAACACCAAAUGCAAAGUAUAAACUUGAGAGAAUAUUCUAAAACACUCAAAAUCGGCCAAGCCCUCUUGUUUCUCUUGUGUGGAGCCGAUUUUGGGGAGAGACAUGGUCCUUAUAUAGUGUGUUGCAUUAGGUAAAACCCUAAUGUAACAUGAUUCUUCAUUUCUCAAUCCAUGGGUUAACUCCAUGGAGCAUCCAUGGAGCAUCCUAUGGGUGGAACCCAACUUGAUAAUCCAUGGAGCCUUUUAGCCCACUAUAUAAGAUAUGGAAGAUUUACAUAAUCUACCCAUAUAUUUAAUUAGUUAUUCUUUUGAUCACUUAAUUAAUUCUAAAUUAAUUCUUGACCAAAACUAAUUAAAUAAUAUUAUUAAUAUAUUAGAACUUAUAAUAUUUUAAUAAACCACAAGUGUUAUUUCUCCCAUUUAGUCUAUCCAAUUGCAUGGUGCCAUGCAACCCAAAUGGACCAUGUCGGGUUGGGUCAAGUACAUACCAGAAAUAGUUAUGGACUUAGACACAUUAUCCAACAGUAAGUAGGUAGUCUUAUUAAUUAAAAUAAACUAUUGAAGAAGAAAUCCCGUAAACAAAGGUUAGUUAAUACCAUUGUGAGUUCGUAUAACCAUGCUAAUAUGACUGAUGACCUCCUUGACGUUUCUUCAGGCAUCGUACGAUUACAAAAUUUGUCACCCUAGGUGUGCCCGCCUAACUAUAGCUAACAGUUCAGGUGUGGGAUUGUCAGUCCCGAAUAGAUCUAUUCACAAAUUUCACGCUCUCCCUCUAGGAGACUUUGGUUAUACUAAAGGUGAGGAUUUACUGGUACCCCGAAGGACAUAAUGAAGAUAGGGCUCACAAUCCUGUAUUAACUAGUUUACGUGUUGUUCGGUUGUUCUCGUGUUCGAAAUCAUUGUAUACGGUGUAGAGUAUAAAUAAUUAUACACAAAAUGAUUAUUUAAUAAGGUACUCUAAUAAAGGAUAAACUAAAUCUAUCAUAGUUUAUGAGUUUGAAUGUAUGAAACCAGUAAUGAAAUCCCCAACUAUACCUAUUAUAGUUUGACUGUUUUUUUACGUUCAUGUACUGUUCGGAAAACUAUGCAAUUAGGUUUAGAAAACGUCCCUUAUGCUCCGCAUAAUACAAAAGGGAUAAAGUAUCUAAAUGUAUGAUGGAAAACCGUUGUCAUUGCAUCAGUUUUUAAGUUGUGAAAACCUUUAUGUUUGGCUUGUAUUCUCCCUGAAAACGUUUUAAAAACUGUAAAAACGUAGGGGUAUGAACUCACGGUUGGUUGGUCGUAAAGAAUUGAACCAGAAGAUCCUUGAGCCGAUGCGUAUCACUUAACGGAAUCCUAAUAUCAAAUAAAUACAUAUAUGUAUCGAAAUUAGCGAUUUCGUUAGAUAAAGUGUUAGAUAAACACUUGGUUUUGGUUAAGGAAUGUUACUGGUGUUGGAUAAGGUGUCUAAGUCCAUAACAAUUUUUGGUAUGUACUUGACCCGACCUGGCAUGAUCCAUUUGGGUUGCAUAGCACCAUGUAAUUGGAUAGACUAAAUGAGAGAAAUAACACUUGUGGUUUAUUAAUAUAUUAUAAGUUCUAAUAUAUUAAUAAUAUUAUUUAGUUAGUUUGAUCAAGAAUUAAUUUAGAAUUAAUUAAGUGAUCAAAAGAUAACUAAUUAAAUAUAUGGGCUGUUUAUGUAAAUCAUCCAUAUCUUGUAUAGUAGGCUAAGACGCUCCAUGGAUAAUCAAGUUGGGUUAAACCCAUUGGAUGCUCCAUGGAGGCUCCAUGGGAGUUACAAACCCAUGGGUCAUGGAAAUGAAGAGUCAUGACACAUUAGGGUUUACAUGGUGUAACCUAGAUGUGUCAACACUAUAUAAAGCUCAUGUUUCUCCCAAAAUCGGUUACACAUGCAUGCUUGAGGGCUAGAGCCGAUUUUUAGAGUGUUAUACUUUCUCUCCAAGUUUACUCCAAAGCAUUUGGUGUUGUGUGAAGCAUUUGAGGCAUCACACUUGGGGUGCUAGGCUCACAAGGUUUCAAGGAUCAAAAUCAACAACAAGGUAUGUAGUUCUAUCUUUUAUUCAAGUUAAAAUUGUUCCCCAUGUAUGCUAGAUAGGAUCAUAACCUUGGAAAUCAACUUUGCAUGAUAAUUAGAAAAACAUAGAUCCAAGGUUAUUAGGGUUGCAUGUACACUUAGGAAGUGUUAGAAUGCUCAAAACCCAUCAGUGGUAUCAGAGCCUAGGCUUGUUUGUUUGUUAUUUGUGCUUAAAAGUUGAAGAAAGUCGAAAAUUCUGCUGUCUGACUGAUGGACUCGGCGAGUCCAUGGGGAGGACUCGUCGAGUUCAUGUGUAUCUUCAACCUACUCGGCGAGUAGGUUUAUGCACUCGGCGAGUAGGGUCGACAGAGUGCAGAAUUUCGACUUGAGUUGCUGGAAAUGGAUUAGAAUCAUUACCCUAAAAUGUUUUGGUACUUGAAAACUUAUUUUAGAAGGUGUAAUGUCUUUUCUAACUCAUUUACAACAACUAGUUAUCAAAAUUACAAAGAUUAAAUGUGAUUUUGAUUCUUGAAAGUGUUCAUAUUCAUAUUCUUGUUCUUAUGAUGUUUAGAUGAUCAUAGGAAUUAUUUGUAACCUAUGUGGUAGAUUAAUUCAUGAUCAUAAUGUGUUUUAAUGGAGUCCAUAACUUGUCCUCAAGUUAUGGAAAACCAAAAGUCUCUUGGAUUAAAAACCAUUAAAAGAACACAAGAGUUAGGAAAAAUGAAAAGUCCUCAUUUUAUUACUCUAUUAAACUCAUAAGUUACAAGAAAUGAAAAGUUUUGAAAGUUUACAAAACUUGCCCUCAAGUUUUGGAACAAGUAAAGUUAAAUUAAAACUUUAGUUCCAACCCUUAGAAUUUUAAAAGUUAAAAUUCAACCCUUAUACUUAUAAUAUUAUAAGUUAAUAUAAAUAUAUAUAUGUAUAAGAUCAAAGUCGUCUUACCGCUAGUACGCCUCAUUCACGAAGCCGGUCUAUAAGGUGGGUAUAAGGUUGUUGCCUAUAAAAUGGCAACUUAAUGGGUGUCCACUCUCACCCACCGCUUGCUUGACUGGUGGAGGGUCGUUAGCCGAACGGGUAAGACAAGGACUUAUAAAUUCUCAUUAAAAGUAUAAUGAUUAUUAUAAAGUAACUAAAUGUUUUAUAAAUUCCCAAUCUUAGUUACUUUAGGAAAAAUGUGAAUAAGGUGCUAAUCCAUGAAAUUACACUUUGCACCUUGUUUAAGUCGUUGGUGGAGCGUGUGUGGUUUACCGGCACACUAACUUGGACUUAACAAGGAAGGCAAAGGGUGACUUAAGGUUUUUCAUGAGGUCGGAAGGAGCGCGUGUGGUUUACCGGCACAACGAUUAAGUGAAAAACAUUAAGGGUACCAAGUAAUUUGCAUGGUUACUUCACACCUUGUUUUGUGAUCCUCGGUAUCCCAGUCACAAAACAUGAAGGGCACACUCGAGAUUGAAACAUGCCAUUGAAAAGUUCAAUGAAUCUCAAAGAAUCUAGGAAUUUCUAAAAGCCAAAUAAAACCUAAUAAUUUAUGUUUCGUUUUCAUGGUGAAAAUUGGUGAGUCGUCAUUCACCUACCUUUCAAAUAUGUUAUAAUUUGGAUUACGACAUCCCUCUUCUAGGUUAUAAUAUAUUGUGAUUGGAUCCUAGCCUUAAUACUACAUUUGGGUGUUUUAUUAAGGACUAUCCCUAUAUCUAAACUAAAAUUAUUUUCUUCUUUUCAGAUGUCUUCCAACAAUGCUACUCCUGGCUCAAACCCUACUGGCUCCUUCUUUCUCAUGAACCUUUGUGGGAGAGUCAUCUUUGAUGGAUCCAACUUUACUGACUGGAUCAGAAACAUCAGGACGGUCACUCGUUACGAGAACAAGGAAUAUGUUCUUGACAACGAGCUCAAGGUGCCUGAGCCAACUGCUACUCCUGAGGAGCUUGCUGAAUAUGAGGUUCAUGAAAGAGAUGCUAUAAAAGUGGCAUGCAUCAUGAUGGCCACCAUGACAGCCGAGCUCCAAAAGUCCUAUGAGGACUACUAUCCUUUUGAGAUGCACCAGGAUUUGAUGGACCGCUACCAUCAGAGUGCUCGUCAAGAGCGAUAUGAAAUCAUCUCCUCUAUGAUCACAACCCGAAUGAAAGAUGGCGAACCCAUCACAAGCCACAUGCAGAAAAUGCAAAGGUAUGUGGAUCGAUUGAUGAAGUUGAAUGUGAACUUCCCUGAGGAGUUAGCAAUAGAUAUUAUUUUGCACUCCUUACCUUCGUGUUAUGAUCAAUUCCGCAUGACAUACCACAUGAAUAAGGAGGAAGUUACACUUAGCAAACUUCAGGGACUCCUAAAGACCGCAGAAUCAGGUCUUAAAGGUAAGUCGGUUGUGACCACUCCUGCUACUACUCCAAACUCAGCACCUGUCCUGGCAAUCGGGAAAGGUAGAGGGAAGAAGAGAAAGAACCCUUUGAAGGGUACCAAGGGUAAGAUCCUUGAUGGCUCCUCUUUUAGCGGAACCAAGAAAGGUUUCGUUACACCUUCUUCUGAUCCCAAAGAGGCUGAAUGCUUCUACUGCCACGAAAAGGCGAACUGGAAGCGUAAUUUCCCAAAGUACCAGCAAGACUUGAAGGAUGGGAAGGUUAAACCCAACCAUCCAGAUAUUUACACUAUCUCAUCUAAUAAUUUACUCUAUUCUAACUCUUGGGUCCUUGAUACCGGUUGCGGUAUUCAUAUUUGUUCUGAAUUCCAGGGACUAAGAAUAAGUGAGAAUGUGGAGCAUGGAAAUAUAAACUUGAUCUUGGGGAAUAGGAAAGUUUUACUUGUCACCAAGAUUGGAGUUUAUACUUUGUUGCUUAGUAGUGGAUUUACUUUAAAUUUGAAGAAAUGUUGUUAUUCGCCAGAAAUGACAAGAAAUGCUAUUUUCUUUCAUGCUUUGUAUAAACAAGGUUUCACCUUUUCUUUUGAUAAUGAAAUUGGUGGAAUAAAUGCUUUCUUUAAUAAUGUGUUUUAUUUUAAAGCAUUACCUUGUGAUGGUGUGUAUGAAGUUGUGUCUGUUUUAGAUAACUUAAGAAAUAAUGUAUUGUGUAUUGAUUCUACUAAUGAUAAUAACUUGGAUAAAGCAUCAUUAUGGCAUUGUCGUCUUGGACAUAUAAGCAAGAAACGCAUAGGCCAACUCCAAAAGGAUGGAGUCUUGGAAUCAUUUGACCUAAAGUCAGAUGAUAGUUGUGAAUCAUGCUUACUUGGAAAAAUGACAAAGUCACCCUUCACUGGUUCUUGUGAAAGGGGUGAAGGCUUGUUGGAUCUUGUACACACAGAUGUAUGUGGACCCUUCAAAACUGCCACAAGGGAUGCUAAUCGUUAUUAUGUGACUUUUACAGAUGAUUAUAGUAGAUAUGGAUAUGUCUACUUAAUCAAGCAUAAUUCAGAGACCUUUGAAAGGGUUAAAGAGUUUAAACAGGAAGUCGAGAAUCAAUUGGGCAGGAACAUUAAGAUGCUUUGAUCCGAUCAUGGUGGUGAGUAUCUUAGUACUGAGUUCCUUGACUAUCUAAGGGAAUGUUGGGUUGUCUCACAAUUGACACCUCCCAGGACACCACAGUUGAAUGGUGUAGCUGAGAGGCGUAAUCGAACCUUGUUGGAUAUGGUUCGUUCCAUGAUGAGUCGAGCUACGCUACCAAUCUCAUUUUGGGGGUAUGCCUUAGAGACUGCCANGGUUAAAGAGUUUAAACAGGAAGUCGAGAAUCAAUUGGGCAGGAACAUUAAGAUGCUUUGAUCCGAUCAUGGUGGUGAGUAUCUUAGUACUGAGUUCCUUGACUAUCUAAGGGAAUGUUGGGUUGUCUCACAAUUGACACCUCCCAGGACACCACAGUUGAAUGGUGUAGCUGAGAGGUGUAAUCGAACCUUGUUGGACAUGGUUCAUUCCAUAAUGAGUCGAGCUACGCUACCAAUCUCAUUUUGGGGUUAUGCCUUAGAGACCACCACCCAUAUCCUUAAUCUGGUCCCUACAAAGAAGGUUGCCAAAACACCUCACGAGAUGUGGACUGGAAAAGUUCCUAGUUUAUCCCACAUCAAGGUUUGGGGUUGCGAGGCUUUCGUGAGACGCGAGACUCAUGCCAAGCUCGAACCUCGAAGUGAGAGGUGUAUUUUCAUCGGCUACCCACAAAAAUCCUUUGGUUACCUCUUCUACAGACCUAGUGAGAAUNNNNNNNNNNNNNNNNNNNNNNNNNNNNNNNNNNNNNNNNNNNNNNNNNNNNNNNNNNNNNNNNNNNNNNNNNNNNNNNNNNNNNNNNNNNNNNNNNNNNNNNNNNNNNNNNNNNNNNNNNNNNNNNNNNNNNNNNNNNNNNNNNNNNNNNNNNNNNNNNNNNNNNNNNNNNNNNNNNNNNNNNNNNNNNNNNNNNNNNNNNNNNNNNNNNNNNNNNNNNNNNNNNNNNNNNNNNNNNNNNNNNNNNNNNNNNNNNNNNNNNNNNNNNNNNNNNNNNNNNNNNNNNNNNNNNNNNNNNNNNNNNNNNNNNNNNNNNNNNNNNNNNNNNNNNNNNNNNNNNNNNNNNNNNNNNNNNNNNNNNNNNNNNNNNNNNNNNNNNNNNNNNNNNNNNNNNNNNNNNNNNNNNNNNNNNNNNNNNNNNNNNNNNNNNNNNNNNNNNNNNNNNNNNNNNNNNNNNNNNNNNNNNNNNNNNNNNNNNNNNNNNNNNNNNNNNNNNNNNNNNNNNNUUUUCACCAGUAGCCAAGAUUAAGUCUAUUAGGGUAUUGUUAGCCAUAGCUGCAUUUCAUGACUAUGAAAUAUGGCAAAUGGAUGUCAAAACCGCUUUCCUUAAUGGAAAGUUGGCUGAGGAUGUUUACAUGAAUCAGCCAGAGGGUUUUGUCAGCAUAGAGUACCCUAAUAGAGUGUGUAAGCUUGAGAAAUCCAUCUAUGGAUUAAAGCAAGCACCUCACAGAUGGAAUCUUUGCUUUGAUGAGAAAGUCAAAGAGUUUGGCUUUUCAAGGAGUGAAGAUGAAUCUUGUGUAUAUGUCAAGGCUAGUGGGAGUAUAGUUAGCUUUUUGGUACUGUAUGUGGAUGACAUACUACUCAUAGGAAAUGACAUCCCAACUCUGCAGGAAGUUAAGUCCUGGCUUGGGAAGUGUUUUGCUAUGAAGGACCUAGGAGAAGCUGCCUAUAUUCUAGGGAUAAGGAUCUUGAGAGACCGGAGUAAAAGACUAAUUGGACUUAGUCAGAGUACAUACUUGGAUAAGGUGCUGAAGAGAUUCAGCAUGCAAGAUUCCAAGAAAGGAGAGUUACCCAUCCAGAGUAACGCUAGACUGAGUAAGAUUUAGAGCCCGAGUACUGUGGAUGAGAUAGCAGAAAUGAGUCGGGUACCUUAUGCUUCGACAAUAGGCUCGAUCAUGUAUGAUAUGACCUGUACUCGUCCUGAUGUAGCCUUUGCUUUAGUCAUGGUUAGUAGGUAUCAGGGGAAUCCUGGUAAGGCUCACUGGACAGCGGUAAAGAACAUUCUCAAGUACCUGCGGAGGACUAAGGACUGGGUCCUUACCCUUGGUGGGAGUGAUGACUUGAGAGUUGUAGGGUUUAGUGAUGCUAGCUUCCAAACUGAUAGGGAUAACUUCCGCUCUCAGUCGGGCUGGGUCUUUACCUUAAAUGGAGGAGCAAUCUCUUGGAAAAGUUCCAAGCAGGAGACAGUGGCUGAUUCAACUUGUGAAUCAGAGUAUAUAGCGGCAAGCGAGGCGUCAAAAGAGGCUAUGUGGCUAAAGCACAUCAUUAGAGACCUUGGAGUUGUACCAGCUAUAUCGAAGCCCAUAAAGAUUUUCUGUGAUAGUGAAAGUGCAGUUGCCUUAGCAAAGGAACCAAGGGAUCAUGGGAGAUCCAAACACAUUGACAGAAAAUAUCAUUUCAUCAGACAUCGUAUAGAAGAAGGACNUUCUCGUGGAAAAGAGGGUAUCAUUGGAUGAGAACCCGGCAGACCCUCUCACGAAGGGACUGGGUAGGGUUAAGCAUCUCCAGCAUGCUGGGAGCAUAGGGCUGAAGGAUGAUAUUAGUCUUAGUAGUUAGAUAAUUUUGAAAUUUGUAUAAUGUAAUUGACAUUUGAUGAUGAAAAAAAAGUGGUGUUUAUUUAUGAUUAAAGUGUUGCUAUCCCUUGUCAAUCGUUUACUAUUAUUUCUUUUGCCUAUUUUGACUUCCAGAAUAUUUAUGUUGUUUUACAUAUUAUUCAAAUUAUCCACAGCCAGUCAUAUGUUGGAAGUAGAUAUGAAGUAAGACUGUCAUGAGUUGGUUGUAGAGGUCUAAGAUGUUGGACAUGGCCUCAACACUCAUGAGUGCUCAUAAGUUCUGAGUAUUGGAUUCAACCCACGCUCGCAGGUAUCACUUCAUGGAAUUUAUCUCGAGUGAUUGUGAGACAGUAAUAUCAUAUAAGUCUUCAAACCUAGAGAUAUGACUAGUUAACUAUGAGUUAGUUAUGCAUUGAUUGUGCGAAACCUCAUUGGUAACUCGAUGUUAUAAAACAUGCGUUUGUGUGUAAUUUAACAAGUAGUAGAACAAGCAUAUGAGUCGAAGUUUAUCUGUUCCUUCUUGGAUUAGAAGCUGAUAUCUGGGCCCCUCGAUGAUUUUGUUUUGACCUAUGUACCGGGCCCGGUCAGAACUAAGUUGAUGUGUUCAAUUAAGUUCUUUGUCAAACAAAUCGGAAAUCGGGAAACAAACUGCUGGACAAUAAGUAAGACAUUGUUCCAUGUAUUUGUCCGGCUGAUAUCUAGAACAGAGGAUUAUAUGAUCCCUUAUCUGAAAUGGCGUACCAUCAUCUUCUCAGUUCCGAGAGACCUUGAAAGAGCUACGAUUGCCGGUCGGUUCCUGAAGUACUAGAGAUAUAGUUAUUAGACUUAUCCAAGUGGGAGACUGUUGGAUAAGGUGUCUAAGUCCAUAACUAUUUCUGGUAUGUACUUGACCCGACCCGGCAUGGUCCAUUUGGGUUGCAUGGCACCAUGCAAUUGGAUAGACUAAAUGAGAGAAAUAACACUUGUGGUUUAUUAGUAUAUUAUAAGUUCUAAUAUAUUAAUAAUAUUAUUUAAUUAGUUUGAUCAAGAAUUAAUUUAGAAUUAAUUAAGUGAUCAAAAGAUAACUAAUUAAAUAUAUGGGUUGUUUAUGUAAAUCAUCCAUAUCUUGUAUAAUGGGCUAAGAGGCUCCAUGGAUAAUCAAGUUGGGUUAAACCCAUUGGAUGCUCCAUGGAGGCUCCAUGGGAGUUACAAACCCAUGGGUCAUGGAAAUGAAGAGUCAUGACACAUUAGGGUUUACAUGGUGUAACCCUAGAUGUGUCAACACUAUAUAAAGCUCAUGUUUCUCCCAAAAUCGGUUACACAUGCAUGCUUGAGGGCUAGAGCCGAUUUUUAGAGUGUUAUACUUUCUCUCCAAGUUUACUCCAUAGCAUUUGGUGUUGUGUGAAGCAUUUGAGGCAUCACACUUGGGGUGCUAGGAUUACAAGGUUUCAAGGAUCAAAAUCAACAACAAGGUAUGUUGUUCUAUCUUUUAUUCAAGUUAAAAUUGUUCCCCAUGUAUGCUAGAUAGGAUCAUAACCUUGGAAAUCAACUUUGCAUGAUAAUUAGACAAACAUAGAUCCAAGGUUAUUAGGGUUGCAUGUACACUUAGGAAGUAUUUGAAUGCUCAAAAACCCAUCAAUUGGGACUUGGUUGAAUUGAGAAAAUAGGCUUUUCCCCACGAAAGAGAUGUUUACGGUCUAGUGGAGAGUUUACGGUCGACAGGCAGUUUACGACCAUGAACUAGGGUUUACGGUCGUAAAUUGAGUUUAUGGUCCUUGAAGAUUUGACCGUAAACGGGGUUACGGUCUAUGAGGAUUGACUGUUUACGGUCUAUGAAAAUUGACCGUAAACUCAAGAACAGUGAUGCUGGUUUCCAUGAAAACGUGUUUUAGAUGCUCCUACACAACCUCCAAAAGUGUUUCCUGAUGGUUUUCCAAGAGAAAUGAGGGUGUUUAGGAGUUUACGGUCAGAGUUUCAAGAGAGUGAAUGAGUGUGUUUUCAGUCCAAAGUGUUCAAAUGAGGGUGGGGGUCUCAUAUUUAUAGGGGAUUUUAUGGUCGGUGAGUGGGGUCCACCCGACUCGGACCGUAAACAGGGUUUACAGUCGUACACGAGUUUACGACCAUAAACUUGGCCUGGACCGUGAACUUGGUGUUUUUCGAGGAAAUUCAAGUUUUUCGCAUGAUUUUCGGUUUAUUCCGACUCGCAUAAAAUACAUAUUAUUUAUUUAAAACGUAAAGUAUUUCCCACACUAAGAAAUUUGACGGAAUUUAAUGAAAACCCAAAUUUUAUUAACGAAAGUUGAGUAAGGAUAACGGAAAAAGUUUCAAUUUGUCACAUCAUCCCUCCGAUAGAGGGAAUUUCGUCCCGAAAUUCGAACAUAGAAUACAAAUCAUGGAUUAGGAUAGAGGUGCGGAUACUUCUCUUUCAUCUGAUCUUCACUCUCCCAAGUGAAUUCAGGUCCCCGCUUGGCGUUCCACCGAACCUUCACUAUCGGGAUGCGACUUUGUUUCGUUUGUUUGAUCUCUCUAUCCAUGAUUUCCAGUUCUUCCACGAAGUUAAGGUUAUCAUUGAUUUCAAUCUCAUCGAGGGGAAUUACAAGGGUUUCUUCGGACAAGCAUUUCUUAAGAUUUGGAACGUGGAAGACAGGCUGCAGGACCGAUCCUAUCAAGGAUCUCGAAUGGUCCUAUGUACCUCGGAUUUAGCUUUCCACUCUUUCCAAAGCAUAUCAUCCCUUCCAGGGUGAGACCUUCAGCAGAACACGGUCUCCGACCUGGAACUCCAAGGGUUUUCGUCGUUUAUCAACUUAGCUUUUUUGUCGAUCUAUCGAAGCUUUCAGUCGUUCCCGGAUUUGUAUGAUCUUAACUAUGGUUUCGCAGAUGAUUUCUUGGCCGGUGAGAGUGCUAUCAGGGACUUGCCCCUUGGCUAGCUACGUUUUGCCCACCUCAGCCUCGCACAUAGGGGAUCUGCACUUGCAGCCAGAGAGAGCUUCGAACGAUGCAGCCUUGAUGCUGGUAUGAUAACUGUUGUUGUAGGAGAAUUCAACCAAGGGAAAAUAUGUGUCCCACAAUUUACCGAAGUCGAUGACACAUGCUCGCAACAUGUCUUCCAAGGUCUGGAUGGUCCUCUCACUCUGCCUAUUUGUCUGAGGAUGGUAAGUUGUACUCAUGUCCAACUUAGUUCCAAGAGCUUUCUGUAGGGACUGCCAAAAUCUCGAGAUGAACUUGCUAUCUCGAUCGGAGAUAAUGGACACAGGUACCCCGUGCAGUCGAACUAUCUCUUGAAUGUAGAUUCGUGUGAGCCUCUCCAAUUUGAAUGUUUCCUUGAUUGGCAGGAAGUGAGCAGAUUUUGUCAAUCGUUCGACUAUUACCUAGAUGGUGUCGUACCCACUCGGUGAUUUGGGUAAUUUUUUUAAUGAAAUCCAUGGUAAUCCUCUCCCACUUCCACUCAGGUAUCUUUAGUUGCUGAAGCAAACCUGAGGGCUUCUAAUAUUCAACCUUCGCCUUGGCGCAAGUUAGACACUUGCCCACGAAGGUAGCGAUCUCCACUUUCAUGUUUGGCCACCAAUAUAGCUUCUUGAUAUCAAGAUACAUCUUGUCCGAACCUGGGUGAACGGAUUAUCUAGUCUUGUGAGCUUCGUUUAUGACAACCACUUUGAAACCACCGAACUUUGCGGUCCAGAUUUGAUUCAUGAAAUAUUAAACUCCAUCUCCCUUGAUCUCAAAGUUCUUUUCCAUUCCCCUCAAGGCUUCACCCAAAAUGUUUUCUGGUUUUAAAGCGUCCAACUAAGCCUCUCUGAUUUGUGCGGAUAAGUGGGAAUGGAUGGUCAUUGUCAGUGCCUUCACUUUAUGACCUGAGUACUCCUUCCAGCUGAGGGCAUCUACUACCACAUUUGCCUUGUCGGGAUGGUAGCGUAUUUCACACUCAUAAUCAUGUGUGUAGCUCUACCCAUCGUCGUUGUCUCAUGUUUAACUCUUUCUGAUCGAAGAUAUGUUGUAGACUCUUGUGAUCGGUAAGGACUCCAUAUCUUUAAUGUGAAGACCACUACUCCCAACUCCAGGUCAUGAGCUGUAUAGUUGACUUUGUGUGCCUUCAUCUGCCUUGAGGCAUAAGCAACAACUUCUCCUCGCUGCAUAAGCACACAUCCUACACCCUGAUUGGAUGCAUCACAGAAGACAAUGAAGUCCUCCGUCCCUUCGGGCAACGAUAGGAUAGGUGCACUGCAUAGGGCCUGCUUUAAUGUUUGGAACAUAAUGUCUUGUUUUUCACUCCAACAAAAGGGUACUGCCUUCUAAGUCAGAGUGGUUAGGGGUUUGGCAAUUUUGGAGAAAUUCUGGAUAAACCUACGAUAAUAGCCAGCGAGGCCCAAGAAUUGACGGAUUUUGGUAGGCGUCUUCGGUGCCGACCGGUUUUUAUCGCUUUGAAUUUGGACGGGUCCAUGUGUAUGCCUUCCUCACUUACCACGUGACCUAGGAAGGUUACUUUCCGAAUCCAGAACUCGCACUUGGAGAAUUUUGCGUAUAGCUUUUCCGUCCUUAGAGUUUCUUGUACCAAUCUCCAGUGUUGUCUUUGAUGUUCCUCAGUUCUGGAAUAGACAAGUAUAUCGUUAAUGAACACGCUUACGAACUUGUCCAGGAAAGGACGACACACCCGAUUCAUCAGGUCCAUGGAUACUGCCAGUGUGUUGGUUAGACCGAAGGGCAUCACUACGAACUCGUAGUGACCAUAUCGAGUCCGAAAUGUUGUCUUAGGGACAUCACCCUCGUGGACUCGUAGUUGAUGGUAGCCUGAUAUUAGGUCUAUUUUGGAGAAGUUGUUGGCUCCUUGAAGUUGGUCGAAGAGGUCAUCGAUUCGAGGAAGAGGGUAACGGUUUUUGACAGUGAUCUUGUUCGGUUCUCUAUAGUCAAUGCACAUCCGAAAAGAUCCAUCCUUCUUUUUCUCAAAUAAAAACGAGGCUCCCCAGGGUGAGGAACUCAGUCUGAUGAAUCCCUUGCUGAGCAGCUCAUUGAGCUGGAUGGACAACUCUUGCAUUUCUGUUGGUGCUAGGCGGUAUGGGGAUUUAGCUACGAGGGUAGCUCUGGGGAUUAAGUCGAUGCAAAACUCGACUUAGCGCUCGGGAGGAAUUCCCGGAAGCUCUUCAGGAAAGACAUCAGGAAAGUUGCAGACUUUGAGUAUGCUCUCGAGGUCUUUAACUUCCUGUUUUUUUGUUAAUAACACGGGCUAGGAAUGCAGGACACUCCUUUCGUAGAUGUUUUUGGGCUUUGAUGCACAUGAUGAUAGGGAGGUUUGAACUGAGUUUAUCGCCAUAGAUCAUGAGGGUUUCUCCGGAGGGAAGAUUGAGUCAAAUGGAUUUUUGUAGCAAAGGAUAUCAGUAGAAUUGGGGCUCAACCAAUCCAUGUCGAUGAUGACAUCGAAGCUUUUUAUGGAGACUAGCAUAAGAUCGAUUGGAAAGGAAUGAUCAUUUAAGGUAAAGGUACAACCGAUGAAUAUGUUGUUAAUGCUCUAUUUCUCCCUGUUAUUCAUCUCGACGGUAAAUGUUUCGAUUAAGGGUUGUGGUUUACGUUUGAGGAGAUGGUUGAAUGCAUGAGUAACAAAACUUCUCUCCACACCAGAAUCGAAAAGAAUGCAUGCAUAAGAGUUGUCGAGGAGGAAUGUACCCGUAACAACGAUAGGGUCAGCAAAUUCCUCCUCUUGUCCCAUCGCUAGAACUCUCCCGGUGUUGUCAGAUGUUGCUACCUCGGGGUAGUUUCUCUUGUAGUUCCCUACCUCACCACAACCGUAACAAGCUUGACCAACACAUGCUCCAGAUGCUUGAUUAGUUGGUUGGACUGGUGUUCUGCAACUUCUAGCCAUGUGACCCUUCUUGCCACAGUUGUUGCAGAGCAUUUAACGGCAUGGGCCAGAAAUGUAAUGAUGAUAGUUGCAUUUGCUGCACCAAGGGAGGGUACCAAUAUAUCUGUUGGUAGGUGCUUGAGUUGCCGACACAGCGGUAGGAGUAGUAGCAGCGUAGACUGCUACUGUUUUCUGUUUCUUGGAGGGCUCCUAUGAAGACUGACCCUUUCGUUGCUUCCAGAACUUUCUUUUCUCGCCACUCCCUUUUGCUGGUUCGGGAGCGUCUGUUACUUUAUCCAGAUCAACCCCAUGAUCUAUGAGAGUUUGUGCUAGGUACUUGACACUGUCAAAAGUGAUUGGCCUGGCAGCCAAGACAUUUCCUUGCGUUAGGGGAGUCAAUCCCUAAAUGUAUCUCUCAAUCUUUUUGCAUUCAGGGUGACCAUUCCAGGGCAAAGAAGUUCUAGGUCUUUAAACCUAGAAGUGUAGGCAGCAAUGUAGGAACCCUUCAUCUUUAGAUUCUAGAGUUCAUGCUCCAGCUUCUGCAUUUCACCCCUUGGGUAGUACUCGGCGAGCAUGAGCUCCUUCAAGCUCUCCCAACCCAUAGCAUUUGCUACCGCCAGGGUUAGGGAUUUGACCCGAAUAUUCCACCAGGUCAACGCUCUGUUGGUGAAAGUACAAGAGGAAAAUUUCACCUUGUUGGCUUUAGAAUAGGCUCAAAUUUCGAAGAUACACUCGAUCUUCUCGAACCAUUGAGUCAGGGCUAUAACACCUCCGUUGCCAUCGAAGGACGUGGGUUUUUAAUUCAUGAAGCCUUUAUAGGAGCACUCCUUCUGAUACCCUUGAUUACCUUCAUGAUUUUGGGAAUGAAUACCACUCCUGGAACCACCAGAACCACCGGAGUUUAUCUGCGACAAAGUGACAUUCACGGCAGCAGUAACAGCUGCCUGGAACAUAGCAUGAUCGAACUGAGUAGGUGGUGGUGGUGUUGGAUCCGUUGAGUAAUUGUUUUUCUUUUUGUUGGGUCUUUUCUUUGGAUCCAUCUUAUUCUAUAUUAUGAAGAAGAAGAGGAUAAGUCCCUCUGACUUUAGAAUUUAAGAGAUAUGAAACAAGGUAUAUCUCUAUAUGAUAGAUAAAGUGUUCCACUAAGCGAUAAACAGGAGAGAGUUACUAAAACAAGUAAACUAUCGCUAAGAAAGAAUGAGUAGCAACACUUGGGAUAAAUUUCUACAAUGUAUUUGGCUCUGACUAAAAUACUCCCAUAGUAUUCUAAGUUGCAGAUUUUGUGCUAUCGAUAUCUUGUUGUAUUGAUAUUUGGUAAGUUUUGGGCCUGCCGCAACACUACAGUCAUUCCCAAGCAGAUGUUGGUCGUGUCUCGAAUGAAUAUAUAUUUGAUCAGGAUAUAUUGAAACUAGGCAUGAUUAAAUAACUGCCCAGGUUUAACCGCAGUAUCCAACAUCCAAAUACUUUUGUUUGGUUCUUUUUACGAUACGAAUUCUGGUAUGUAGGUAUUCUUGUAUACUUUUUGUAAAAAAUACUUAUACUUUAAAAGUAUACUUUUAGUUCAGAGCGCAUCGGCCCCUUAGUGUUUAUAGUUGUAUACCAUGUAAGGUUCGGUAUACUAAGUUCACUAUAAACAAUCGCUCUGAUACCAAUCUAUCAGACCCCGAACCGUCAGAAAUAACGGCGGAAAUGUCCGGGGAUGGGUGACGUCAUAUGUAGUUUCACAACAAUCGUAUCAUAGCAGUCAGAGUAAACACAACCAUUACAUUACAAUAUGAAUAUUUACAUUUAUUUGAAAAAAUAUUUUGUGUACAUCAAAAGAAAAAAAAAGAUAAAGACGAGACUCUGAAAUGCUCCAUCUUCUCCAAAAGCUAGCGAAGGUACCAACCUAUCGUUCUCCUGAGAAUACAAGCGGUUUUGAAAACGGAUCAGCAUAAAGCUGGUGAGUUAAUAAGCAUGUUUUUGUAUUUAAAACUAGUCACUGAAUUUGUACAAAUGAUUUCUUUUCAUUAUAAGUAAAAUGUUGUUUGUAUCGAAAACCAUUGUUAUCAAGUUCUAAAAUAUGUAUGCUUGCUUUCCAAGAAAAUCGAAUAUUUUUAAACAUGUUUGAUUACUGUAUGAAACGUAUGUUCUAUUGGAAAACCCUGGCUACCACCAGUAUGCAGUGUAUGUUCUGUUUGAAAAUCCUGGCUACCGCCAAUAUGUAAUGUAUGUUCUGUUCGAAAACGCUGGCUACCGCCAGUAUGUAUAGUAGUUUUAUUACUUAAAAUAAAACCAAAGGUUGGACCCCUGGAUUACCCUCCAGUGUAGUAAGUAGGUAUUCUUAUUAAUUAAAAUAAAACUAUUUAUGAAGAAAUCCUAUAAACAAAGGUUAGUUGAUACUAUUGUGAGUUCGUAUAACCAUGCUAAUAUAACUGAUGACCUCCUUGACGUUUCUUCAGGCGUCGUACGAUUACGAAAUUUGUCACCCCAGGCAUGCCCGCCUAACAGCAGCUAAUAGUUCAGGUGUGGGAUUGUCAGUCCCGAAUAGAUCUAUUCACAAAUUUCACGCUCUCCCUCUAGGGGACUCUGGUUAUAUUAAAGUUGAGGAUUUACUGGUACCCCGAAGUGCAUAACGAAGAUAGGUCUCACAAUCCUAUAUUAACUAGUUUACGUGUUGUUCAGUUGUUCUCGUGUUCGAAAUCGUUGUAUACGGUGUAGAGUAUAAAUAAUUAUACACAAAAUAAUUAUUUAAUAAUAUACUCUAAUAAAGGAUAAACUAAAUCUAUCAUAGUUUAUGAGUUUGAAUGUAUGAAACCGGUAAUGAAAUCCCCAAACUAUACCUAUUAUAGUUUGACUAUUUUGUUACGUUCAUGUACUGCUCAGAAAACAGUGCAAUUAGGUUUAGAAAACGUCCCUUAUGCUCCGCCUAAUACAAAAGGGAUAAAGUAUCUAAAUGUUUGAUGGAAAACUGUUGUAAUUGCUUCAGUUUUUAAGUUUUGAAAACCUUUAUGUUUGGCUUGUAUUCCCCCUGAAAAUGUUUUAAAAACUAUAAAAGCGUAGGGGUAUGAACAUGUAACACCCAGAAUAAGGAAGACCAAGAAAAGAAAGGUUAAGCUCUAAAUCAAGAGUCAACUCGUCGAGUCCAGGGAGGAACUCGACGAGUCGGAGCGGGAUCCGGGUCAUCGAGUAAAUGACUGACUCGGCGAGUCAGCGAGUGGACUUGGCGAAUCUGGUAUGGGCGAGAAAAACCCUAAUCCCAGAGGUUGUGCCCUAUAUAAAGCACAUUAUAACCCACCCUCAGCCUCUUUGCUCCCCUUUUGAGUUCUAGAAACCCUAGAAUCGAGUGAUCCUUCAUUAUUUGAGAAAAUAGAGCCUUGGAGGAGAGAAUCUUGGAGAAGGGCUUGAAGAUCAAGGGCUUUGCUGCAAAGGAGUGGUGUAGAUCCGGAAUUUACAUCAGUUGGAGCUUUCAUUUGAGGUAAUAGUCUGUUGUUUGGGAUUAUGUGCAUCUAGAUCUAUCUUAUGUUUGAGUUUUGGGCAUUUUGAGUAUGGAUGAGAUCUAUUUCGAGUUUGGAGUAGAUCUGAGGUUACUAUCUCAGAUCUAGGUUGGUAAUAACCCAGAAAGUCAUAAAGUUUAGGCCAAUAAGUUAUUGGUGAAGCCCCUUUGUUACAAACCCUAGCCCUAGAGCGUUCUAAGCCUAUAACUCCUUGGUUACACGUAAAUUUUGCCACUUUACGUAGGGGUUAGGCUCUAAAGGUAUGGAUCUAUGGAUUUGAGCCCUUACAUGGCUCGAAAAGCCACUGUAUGGAUUAAGAAUUGAAGAGACUCGGCGAGUCACAUGGGUGGACUUGGCGAGUUGGAUGAAGUUAGGCAGCAACUCGACGAGUUGGAAGAACAACUCAGCGAGUCUAUUGAAGAUAGCCUUGGACUCGACGAGUCUGUUCUUGGACUCGGCGAGUCAAGUCGCGAAACCCCAAACCAUUCGAGUUAAGACUCGGAUCAGUGAGUUGAAUGGGGACCUAGUGAGUGGACAGGUAAGGAAUCGGAAAUCAGUAGACUCGGGGAGUAAUGGUCUGACUCGGCGAGUCGAGUCACGAAUGAAAGGGAUUUCAGAGCUUAUGAACUCGGUGAGUAGGGUCCACCUAGAAGGUUGACUGUGACCAGGACUUUGACUUUGACCAGAUUUGACUUAGUUGACUUUUGAAGGACUGUCAGACUAAGUAUCAUUUUGAUAUUGGUAGCUCAGAGAGCUAGAGGAGCAGUGGCUCAGAAGGUUGUCAGUUAGCAGCCAAAGGGUUAUCAGCAAGUUUAGCAGUACCAGGUGAGUUUCCUUCCACUAGGAACGAGUCUAAGGCCACAAUGCCGGCCCGUUUAGCUAGUAGUAGUUUUCGGACUUCGGUCCGAUGCAGUAGUUAGUAUGUUUGAUGUCUUCGUGGCUCAGACAGGACUUAUGUGUUAUGUAUUCCGGGCUACGACCCGAUGCAGUAUGCAGUAUAUGUGUUCAUGCUAGUUGAUAUGUUUAUGCUAUGUUAUGUUCAGAUAGUCCGGACUUCGGUCCGAUGCAGGGGACAAGGUCCCAGUCAGUUUCUGGACUUCGGUCCGAUGUAGGGGCAAGGCCCCAGAUAGUCCGGACUUCGGUCCGAUUCAGGGGACAAGGUCCCAAUCAGUUUUCAGACUUCGGUCCGAUGCAGGGGGCAAGGCCCCAGUUAGUCUGGACCUCGGUCCGAUGCAGUGGGCAAGGCCCAGUAUGUGCUUUAUAUGUUAUUGUAUGGUUUGUGGUAGUUUGGGGGAGCUCACUAAGCUUCGUGCUUACGGUUUUCAGUUUUGGUUUCAGGUACUCAGUUUUCAAAAGAGGAGCUCAGAGAGGUUGCAGUGCACACACCAUAGUCAGUUAGCUUGGGAAUGUUUUACUCUGAUAAUGAGAUUAUGUUUUGAAUUAAUACUCGAAAAUUAUGUUAUGACUUAUGAUAUGGUUUUAUAAAUAUAGUUUUAGUAAUGUUUUAAAAGAAAUUUUUAGUCGUGAUUUUGUGUCGUUACAAGUUGGUAUCAGAGCCUUGGUUAGAGGGAUUCGGACAUACUUGAGAGUGUGUCUGGACUCAAAUUAAGGAAACGGUAAAAGGUUUUCAAAAGAAAAACAUUUUCGAAAGGAAUUUUUGGUAAAAAGGAGUUUGAGAAAAGAAAAGAGUUUUAGAAAAAGCAAAAAGAAUAUUUAGAAAGAAAAUAACUUGAAAAGAGAAAAAGGGUGUGGUGUAUGCAAUCAGCCAAGCUCAAGUAAGUACUACCAAAUUACCCAUACAAGUUUAUGAUUAUCAAUUUCUGUUUUAGUUUUAGUUCCAGUUUUAGUUUCAGUUUCAGAUUCAGUUUCAGUAUCAGUAGAACAACAUGCUAGUAUAGGACUAAGGAUCUAGGAGGAUGCCUUAUGUGCCUGCUUAUGUGUUUCAGCCUUAUGAGAAUUGCAUGCUAGUAUUGAGUAGACAGCAGUAGGAUAGCCUGUUUAGGUUAUGCCUGAUAGUAUGAGUGCAACAUUGUAUGCUAGUACAGUUUCUUGAGAAUAGUUUGCAUGAGUAUGUUUCCUUUAUCCGAAUGCUGUUUGCUUUGUGCUUAGUGGGACUCUGAGUGAUGGGAAUUAGCCAUUAGGUGAAUACAUCACGUCACAUGUGGUCAGGAUUGGAUAAACUUAGAGUGCCGGAUUUGACCCUAUUGCGUAGCUCUCGUUUGAGUCUAACCAUUGUAUGGAUGAGUCUUGUGUUGGAUUUUGAGCAUUCUAACACUUCCUAAGUGUACAUGCAACCCUAAUAAACCUUGGAUCUAUGUUUGUCUAAAGUAUAUGCAAAAUAUUAAUUUUCCAAGGUUUAUAACCUAUCUAGCAUGGCAUAGGGUACUUUUAAACAUAAAAGAACUAGAUGAAUUACAUACCUUUUGUUGAUUGUUGAUUCCUUAGAGUUUGACAGCCAAGCACCAAUAAUGUGAAUGCCUCAAAUGAAAAUCAUAAAUCACCACAAACUUGGAAAAACUAUGAGAGAGUAUACUAACUCUUAGAAUUCGUCCACCACUAUUACACACACAUUCUAGGGUGUUUUUAAUACAACAUAAGCUUGUUUAUAUAGUGUGCAUGGUUAGGGAGAAACCCUAAUAAACCAUGUCUUUUCCUCUUCCAAGGAUCCAUGGGUUAAAAACUCCAUGGAUCAUCCAUGGACUUCCAUAUAUGCUUAGCCCAUUAACAAAUGAGUAUUAGCCCACACCAUAUAAAUAUAAUAGCCCAUGAUUUAAUUAGUCUUCCUUUUAAUCACUAAAUUAAUUCAUAAUUAAUUCAAGAUUAAAACUAAUUAAAUAACAUGACUUUCUAUUAAUAUAUUAUAACUUAUAAUAUAUAAAUAAAUCAUAUGUAUAUAAUUCUCAUAAAAUUAUCCAUAAACAGUUUGGGUGAAGUGCAACCCAAAUGGACCAUGCCGGGUCGGGUCAAGUAUAUACCAAAUAAGUUAUGGACUUAGACACCUUAUCCAACAAACUCCCACUUGGAUAAGUCUAAUAACUGUAUUUACCUAUAUUACUUCAAGAACCAACCGGCAAUCGUAGCUCUCAAAAACUUUUGAACUAUGAAGCGCCAUUUUAGAUAAGUGAUCAUAUAAUCCUCUGUUCUCAUGAUAUCAGCCGGACAAAUACAUGGAACAAUGUCUUACUUAUUGUCUGGCAGUUGUUUCUCGAUUUCCGAUUUGUUUGACAAAGAACUUAACUGAACACAUCAAUUUAGUUUUGACCAAGCCCGGUACAUGGGUCAACACAAAAUUAUCGAGGGGCCCAGAUAUUGCUUCUAUCUCUAGAAGGAACAGAUAAACUUCAACUCAUAUGCUUGUUCUACUACUUGUUGAAUUGUACACAAAGGUACGUUUUAUAACAUCAAGUUACUGAUGCGUUUACGUGCAAUCAAUGCACAACCAACUCAUAGGUAACAACUCAUAUCUCUAGGUUUGAAGACUUAUAUGAUAUUAUCGUCUCACGAUCACUCGAGAUAAAUUCCAUGAAGUGAUACAAGUGAGCGUGGGUUUAUUCCAAUACUCAUAACUUAUGAGCACUCAUGAACGUUGUAGCAACCAUUGCCAUGUCUAAACACCAUUAGCCAUCUACAAACCCAAUUCAUGAUAAUCUUGAUUCGUACCUACUUCCGAUGUAUGACCGAUUGUGGAGGUUUGAAUAAAUUAAUUAUUCUGGAAGUCAAAACAUGCAAAGCUGAAACAAUAGUAAAUAAUUGACAAUGAUAGUAACACUUUACUCAUAAAUAAAUCACAAAUUUUAUUCAUCAUCAAACGUCGAUUACAUUUUACAAGUUUCAGGAAAAGUAUCUAAUCUGUAAAACUAAUAUCAUCUCUCAGCCCGAUGCGCCUCGCAUGCUGCAAAUGCUUAACCCUCGUCAGUCCCUUUGUAAGGGGAUCUGCAGGGUUCUCCUCUGAGGAUACCCUCUUUGCCACGAGGAGUCCUUCUUCAAUCUUGUGUCUUAUGAAGUGAUAUUUUCUGUCAAUGUGCCGGGAUCUGCCAUGAUCUCCUGGUUCCUUGGAUAAGGCAACCGCACUAUUGCUGUCGUAGAAAAUCUCCAUAGGCUCCUUAAUAGCUGGUACAACUCCAAGGUCUCCGAUGAAGUUCUUCAGCCAUAUCGCCUCCUUCGUUGCUUCACUUGUUGCUAUAUACUCUGAUUCACAUGUCGAAUCAGCCACUGUCUCCUGCUUGGAACUCUUCCAAGAGAUUGCCCCUCCAUUUAAGGUAAAGACCCAGCCCGACUAAGAGCGGAAGUUAUCCCUAUCAGUCUGAAAACUAGCAUCACUAUACCCUAAUACUCUUAAUCAUCACUCCCACCAAGGGUAAGGAUCCAAUCCUUAGUCCUCCGCAGGUACUUGAGAAUGUUCUUUACCGCGGUCCAAUGAGCCUUGCCAGGGUUCCCCUGAUACCUGCUGACCAUGCUCAAAGCAAAUGCCACAUCAGGGCGGGUACAGGUCAUAACAUACAUGAUCGAGCCCACAGCGGAAGCAUAUGGUAAUCGACUCAUCUCUGCUAUCUCGGCCUCUAUACUCGGACUCUGAGUCUUACUCAGUUUGGCAUUGCUUUGGAUCGGUAAAUCUCCUUUCUUGGAAUUCUGCAUGUUGAACCUUUUCAAUACCUUAUCCAAUUAGGUACUCUGACUAAGCCCAAUUAGUCUUUUACUCCUUUCUCUUAAUAUCCUUAUCCCUAGGAUAUAGGCAGCUUCCCCUAGGUCCUUCAUAGCAAAGCAAUUCCCAAGCCAGGACUUAACCUCCUACAAGGUUGGGAUGUCAUUUCCUAUAAGUAGUAUGUCAUCUACAUACAGUUCCAAGAAGCUAACUAAACUCCCACUAGCUCUGACAUACACGCCAGACUCAUCUUCACUUCUCAAGAAGCCAAACUCUUUGACCUUCUCAUCGAAACAAAGAUUCCAGCUACGAGAUUCUUGUUUUAAUCCAUAAAUGUAUUUCUCUAGCUUGCAUACUCUAUUAGGGUAUUCUACACUGACAUCCAUUUGUCAUAUUUCAUAAUCAUGAAAUGCAGCAAUGGCUAGCAUAACCCUAAUAGACUUAAUCUUUGCUACCGGUGAGAAGGUUUCAUCAUAAUAAAUACCCUGAGUCUGAGUAAAACCCUUCGCAACCAGACGAGCCUUAUAAGUAUGCACUUUUCCUUCCAUGUCGGUCUUCUUCUUGAAGAUCCAUUUGCACCCGACUGUUUUACGGCCUGGUACAUUGUCAACCAAGUUCCAAACUUGAUUCUCAUACAUGGACUGUAUCUCGCUGUCCAUAGACUCCUUCCAUUUAGCAGACUCCGGGCCUGCCAUGGCUUCCUUAACACUGCUAGGUUCAUCCAAAUUCACCAGUGUACUAUCGCUGAUAAAUGUGUCUCCUUCCGUAGUAAUAUGAAAGCCAUAAUAAAACGUAGGUGUUUUCCUAACCCGUGUGGAACGCCUCGGAGGUACAUACUCGUCAGCUGGCUCAACAGGAGUUUCGUCUUCAGGUUGAUUGCUAGUGUCUGAGGUUCCUUCACCAAUUGAUUCUUGAAUUUCUUCAAGAUCAAUUUGCCUCCCACUGUCUCCUUGGCUCACAAACUCUCUCUCACGAAAGACCCCUCUUCUUGCUACAAAGACCACAUUCUCACUGGGUUUGUAGAAGAGGUAACCGAAGGAUUUAUGUGGGUAGCUGAUGAAAAUACACCUUUCACUUUGGGGUUCGAGCUUAUCAUGAGUCUCACGCCUCACGAAAGCCUCGCAACCCCAAAUCUUGAUGUGGUCUAAAUUGGGAAUCUUCCCAGUCCACAUCUCAUGUGGUGUUUUGGUAACCUUCUUUGUAGGGACCAGAUUAAGGAUAUGGGCGGCAGUCUCUAAGGCAUACCCCCAAAAAGAGAUUGGUAACGAAACUCAACUCAUCAUAGAGCGAACCAUGUCUAACAAGGUUUGAUUACGCCUCUCAGCUACACCAUUUAGCUGUGGUGUCUUGGGAGGAGUCAAUUGUGAUACAAUCCCACACUCCUUAAGAUAGUCAAGGAACUCGGUACUAAGAUACUCACCACCUCGAUCGGAUCGAAGCAUCUUAAUGUUCCUGCCCAAUUGAUUUUCUACUUCCUGUUUGAAUUCCUUAAACCUUUCAAAGGUUUCUGACUUAUGUUUGAUUAAGUAGACAUACCCAUAUCUACUAAAAUCAUCAAUAAAAGUCACAUAAUACCGAUUAGCAUCCCUUGUGGCGGUUUUGAAUGGCCCACAUACAUCAGUAUGUAUUAGGUCCAACAAACCCUCACCCCUUUCACAAGUACCAGUGAAGGGUGAUUUUGUCAUCUUUCCAAGUAGGAAAGACUCACAACUAUCAUCCGAUUUAAGGUCGAAUGACUCCAAGACUCCACUCUUUUGGAGUUGGCCUAUCCGUUUCUUGUUUACAUGUCCAAGACGACAACGCCAUAAUGAUGCCUUAUCUAGGCUAGUGAAGAAUCAAUAUACAACACAUUAUUUCCUAAGUUGUCCACAAUCGACACAAUUUCAUACACACCAUCACAAGAUAAUGCUUUAAAAUAAAACACAUUAUUAAAGAAAGCAUUAAUACCACCACAUUCAUUAUCAAACGAAAAGGUAAAACCUUGUUUGUACAAAGCAUGAAAAGAAAUAAUAUUCCUCGCCAUUUCAGACGAGUACACACAUUUAUUCAAAUCUAAUUUUAACCCAUUAUUAAGCAACAAAGUAUAAACUCCAAUCUUGGAAACAGGUGAAGCCUUCCUAUUCCCCAUGAUUAAGUUUAUCUUCCCGUGCUCCACAUCCUCACUUCUUCUUAGGCCCUGCAAAUUCAGAACAUAUGUGAAUACCACAUCCUGUAUCAAGCACCCAAGAGAUAGAAUAUGGUGAGUUAUUAGACAAUAUUGUAUAAAUACCUACGUGGGUGGGUUUCACUUUCCCAUCCUUCAGAUCCAGCAAGUACUUAGGGCCGUUUCGCUUCCAGUGCCCCUUGUCCAGGCAAUAGUAGCAACCAGCAUCCUUGGGAAUGGCAGAAGGAGUGACAGAACCGUUCUUAGUCUUGGAUGAGGAGCCUUCAAGAGACUUUCCCUUGGUACCCUUCGAAGGGUGCUUCCUCUUUUUCCCUUUGCCUUGCCCAAUAGCUAAAACAGGGGUAGAAGUUGGAGUAGGAGUAGUAGAGGUAACAACCGCUUUACCCUUAAGACCGGUUUCAGCGGUCUUCAAGAGUCCUUGAAGCUUGCUGAGGGUAACUUCCUCCUUGUUCAUAUGAUAUGUCAUUCGAAAAUGAUCAUAACAAGAAGGCAAGGAGUGCAAAAUGAUGUCAAUUGCUAACUCCUCGGGGAUGUUAACAUUCAGCUUCAGCAAACGGUCCACAUACCUUUGCAUCUUUUGCAUGUGGCCCGUGACGGAUUCAACGUCCUUCAUGUGGGUUGUUAUCAUGGAUGAGAUUAUUUCAUACCGCUCCUGACGAGCACUCUGAUGGUACCUUUCCAUCAGGUCUUGGUGCAUCUAAAAAGGGUAGAAGUCCUCAUAGGACUUUUGGAGCUCGGCUGUCAUUGUGGCCAUCAUGAUGCAUGCCACCUUGGUAGCAUCUCUCUCUCAUGUGUCCUGAAUUCAGCGAUCUCCUCAGGAGUAGCAGUGCACUCAUCAAGCUCCUUUAACUCCUUAUCGAGGACAUAUUCCUUGACCUCAUAACGAGUCACCAUCCUGAUGUUCCUGAUCCAGUCCAUGAAGUUGGAACCAUCAAAGAUGACUCUCCCACAAAGAUUCAUGAGAGAGAAAGAGCCAGUUGGGUUAGAGCCCGAAGCAUUAGUGUUGGAAGACAUCUGAAAGAAGGAAGAAAGUUUAGAUUAGAUAUAUAUAGAAUCCUUAAUAAGACACCCAAAUGUAAUAUUAAGGCUAGGAUCCAAUCACAAUAUAUUAUACUUAGAAGAGGGAUGUCGUAAUCUAAGUAAUAACAUAUUUGAAAGGUAGGUGAAUGACGAUUCACCAAUUUCCACCAUGAAAAAUGAAAUUAAUUAUUAGGUUUUAAUUGGAUUUGAAAUUCCUAGAUUCUUUUGAGAUUCAUUGAACUUUUCAAUGGCAUGUUUCAAUCUCGAUUGUGCCCUUCAAGUUUUGUGACUGGGAUGCCGAGGAUCACAAAACAAGGUGUGAAUAACCAUGCUAAUUCACUUGGUACCCUUAAUAUUAUCACCUAAUCAAUGUGCCGGUUAACCACACACGCUCCAUUGAUCUAUGACAAACAUUAAGUCACCCUUCGUGAUCCUUACUAGUCCAAGUUAGUGUGUCGGUUAACCACACACGCUCCACCAACGACUUGGUAAGGUACAAAGUGUGAAUUCCAUGGACUAGCACCAUGUUCACAUUUUUCCUAAAGUAACUAAGAUUGGGAAUUAAAAUAUUUAGUUACUUUAUAAUAAUCAUUAUACUUUUAAUGAGGAUUUAAAGUCAUUGUCCUACCCGUUCGGCUAACGACCCUCCACCGAUCAAGGAAGCGGUGGGUGAGAGUGGACACCCAUUAAGCUGCCAUUUUAUAGGCAACAACCUUAUACCCACCUUAUAGACCGGCUUCGUGAAUGAGGCCUACUAACGGUAGAACGACUUAUUCUUAUACAUAUAUAUAAUAAUUAACCAUUAAUGUUAUAAAUAGUAUAAGGGUUGAAUUUUAACUAUUAAAACUCUAAGGGUUGGAAUUAAAGUUUAUUAAAGUGUGUGAAACUUUACAAAUUCCAAAACUUGAGGGCAAGUUUUGUAACUAUCCAAAACUUU